AACGAACGCUGGCGGCAGGCUUAACACAUGCAAGUCGAACGCCCCGCAAGGGGAGUGGCAGACGGGUGAGUAACGCGUGGGAAUCUACCCAGAUCUUCGGAACAACCCAGGGAAACUUGGGCUAAUACCGGAUACGCCCUACGGGGGAAAGAUUUAUCGGUUCUGGAUGAGCCCGCGUUGGAUUAGCUAGUUGGUGGGGUAAUGGCCUACCAAGGCGACGAUCCAUAGCUGGUCUGAGAGGAUGAUCAGCCACACUGGGACUGAGACACGGCCCAGACUCCUACGGGAGGCAGCAGUGGGGAAUAUUGGACAAUGGGCGAAAGCCUGAUCCAGCCAUGCCGCGUGAGUGAUGAAGGCCUUAGGGUUGUAAAGCUCUUUCAGUAGGGAAGAUAAUGACGGUACCUACAGAAGAAGCCCCGGCUAACUUCGUGCCAGCAGCCGCGGUAAAAC
rnacentral:rRNA from 1 species